rnacentral:rRNA from 1 species
UACAGAGGGGGCAAGCGUUGCUCGGAAUUACUGGGCGUAAAGGGCGCGUAGGCGGCCUGUUAAGUCGAACGUGAAAUCCCCGGGCUCAACCCGGGAACUGCGUCCGAUACUGGCAGGCUUGAAUUCGGGAGAGGGAUGUGGAAUUCCAGGUGUAGCGGUGAAAUGCGUAGAUAUCUGGAGGAACACCGGUGGCGAAGGCGGCAUCCUGGACCGAUAUUGACGCUGAUGCGCGAAAGCCAGGGGAGCAAACGGG